GAGUUUGAUCCUGGCUCAGAACGAACGCUGGCGGCGUGCUUAACACAUGCAAGUCGAACGGGAUCCAGAGCUUGCUCUGGUGAGAGUGGCGCACGGGUGAGUAACGCGUGGAUAACCUGCCCUGGUAUCUGGAAUAACAUCUCGAAAGGGGUGCUAAUACCGGAUAAGCCCACGGCUCCUUCGGGAGCUGCGGGAAAAGGUGGCCUCUAUUUAUAAGCUACCGUAUCAGGAUGGGUCCGCGUACCAUUAGCUAGUUGGUGGGGUAAUGGCCUACCAAGGCGACGAUGGUUAGCUGGUCUGAGAGGAUGAUCAGCCACACUGGAACUGAGACACGGUCCAGACUCYUACGGGAGGCAGCAGUGGGGAAUUUUGSGCAAUGGGGGAAACCCKGACGCAGCAACGCCGCGUGAGUGAUGAAGGCUUUCGGGUCGUAAAGCUCUGUCAGAGGGGAAGAAAUGGAACGUGCUAAUAUCACGUUUUCUUGACGGUACCCUCAAAGGAAGCACCGGCUAACUCCGUGCCAGCAGCCGCGGUAAUAC
rnacentral:rRNA from 1 species